UCAGAAGAGAAAUAAUGCAUUGUUUUUUACUUGCAGAAAAAUUAGACACUAUGUGUCCAUUAUCAGAGUGUGCAAUGGCAACAAUAAGGCUGAGAAAAUAUCCGAAUGUGUUCAGUCUGACAGUCAUACAGGUACGGUGUCCCAUAUUUAUUCUUAGAGUUCAUUGAGUUUUUGGAGAAAAAUAAAAA
rnacentral:sRNA from 1 species